CACGUGACCGCGAGCGCCGCGCAUGCGCAGAGAGGCGCGCAGGUCUCCAGAGGCCACGUGGGCGGCGCCGAGCAGGGAACGCGACUGGGAAAGAGCACCCACAGGUGGGAGCACUGAAGCCCCUUUCUGUCAGGAAUCCAGGGAAGAAGCAGCCAGCACUGUGUCACCUUCAUCUCCAUGCUAAAGUGCACGUAAAUAAAGGCCAAGUUCCACAAAGACAAA